rnacentral:rRNA from 1 species
CGGACGGGUGAGUAACGCGUGAGGAACCUGCCUUUCAGAGGGGGACAACAGUUGGAAACGACUGCUAAUACCGCAUAACAUAUGUUUGUCGCAUGGCAGAUAUAUCAAAGAUUUAUCGCUGAGAGAUGGCCUCGCGUCUGAUUAGCUAGUUGGUAGGGUAACGGCCUACCAAGGCGACGAUCAGUAGCCGGACUGAGAGGUUGGCCGGCCACAUUGGGACUGAGAUACGGCCCAGACUCCUACGGGAGGCAGCAGUGGGGAAUAUUGGGCAAUGGGCGCAAGCCUGACCCAGCAACGCCGCGUGAAGGAAGAAGGCUUUCGGGUUGUAAACUUCUUUUAAGAGGGAAGAGCAGAAGACGGUACCUCUUGAAUAAGCUCCGGCUAACUACGUGCCAGCAGCCGCGGUAAUACGUAGGGAGCGAGCGUUGUCCGGAUUUACUGGGUGUAAAGGGCGUGCAGCCGGGAGUACAAGUCAGAUGUGAAAUCCCGCGGCUCAACCGCGGAACUGCAUUUGAAACUGUAUUUCUUGAGUACUGGAGAGGCAGACGGAAUUCCUAGUGUAGCGGUGAAAUGCGUAGAUAUUAGGAGGAACACCAGUGGCGAAGGCGGUCUGCUGGACAGCAACUGACGGUGAGGCGCGAAAGCGUGGGGAGCAAACAGGAUUAGAUACCCUGGUAGUCCACGCUGUAAACGAUGGAUACUAGGUGUGCGGGGACUGACCCCCUGCGUGCCGCAGUUAACACAAUAAGUAUCCCACCUGGGGAGUACGAUCGCAAGGUUGAAACUCAAAGGAAUUGACGGGGGCC